rnacentral:rRNA from 1 species
UACGUAGGUGGCAAGCGUUGUCCGGAAUUAUUGGGCGUAAAGCGCGCGCAGGCGGCCUUUUAAGUCUGAUGUGAAAGCCCACGGCUCAACCGUGGAAGGUCAUUGGAAACUGAAAGGCUUGAGUACAGAAGAGGAAAGCGGAAUUCCACGUGUAGCGGUGAAAUGCGUAGAGAUGUGGAGGAACACCAGUGGCGAAGGCGGCUUCUGGUCUGCUACUGCGCUGAGGCGCGAAAGCGUGGGGAGCAAACAGG